UACGGAGGGUGCGAGCGUUGUCCGGAAUCAUUGGGCGUAAAGGGCGCGUAGGUGGCCCGGUCAGUUCGUGGUGAAAGCGCGGGGCUCAACUCCGCGUCGGCCAUGAAUACUGCUGGGCUGGAGCACUGUAGAGGCAGGCGGAAUUCCGGGUGUAGCGGUGGAAUGCGUAGAGAUCCGGAAGAACACCGGUGGCGAAGGCGGCCUGCUGGGCAGUAGCUGACACUGGAGGCGCGGACAGCGUGGGGAGCAAACAGG
rnacentral:rRNA from 1 species